AGAUGGUGCUAUCAUUUCCUGUGCCAUGGAGAGAUUCUCAGUGAUGGUGGGCCAGAUGAGGUCACUGCUCCAGAUAUUAAAAGCUUGAUAGAAAGGGUGGAAAAUGCAGAGGAAGAAGUGUUGAUGGACUUAUCAGAUGCAAUUAUGGCAUGUGGGUACAGAGGGCCAAUAAACAUUGGAACAAAAGAGGCUAUCACUCAGGCUAUCACCUUGCAUGCAAAGGUGAGGCUGAUCCCGAUUCUGAACCAGCUACAUGAAGGACUGAAGCUCUAUGGAUUAGAUGAUUUUUUGAAGCAUCACCGACAGAUGUGCCAGCAGCUCUUUGUUCCUGGCCACUUAAAUGAGGUGGAUUCAAACUUCCUUUUGCGUGCAUUGUGUCCUGAUUUCAGCGAGAAAGGGUCUGUCAGACGGCAAA